rnacentral:piRNA from 1 species
UCCUGGAGAAACAGAAUAGAGUUGUGG